rnacentral:rRNA from 1 species
UACGUAGGGGGCGAGCGUUGUCCGGAAUCAUUGGGCGUAAAGAGCGUGUAGGCGGUCCGGUAAGUCCGCUGUGAAAGUCGGGGGCUCAACCCUCGAAUGCCGGUGGAUACUGUCGGGCUAGAGUGCGGAAGAGGCGAGUGGAAUUCCUGGUGUAGCGGUGAAAUGCGCAGAUAUCAGGAGGAACACCUAUUGCGAAGGCAGCUCGCUGGGACGUAACUGACGCUGAGACGCGAAAGCGUGGGGAGCAAACAGG